GCUAUUGGAAAUUGCCUCUAAGAGAGACUGAAGUUACCUUUGGAGAAAAUGAAGGUUUUCUGAGAAUGCAUCAUGUAAAGAAGGACUUGAAGGAACAGGGGAGAUUGUGGGAGUCUGUAAGAGAGCUCGUUCUAGGCAGGAAGCAGAAGGAGCCGAGGGAGACGUUUACCUGACUGCUGCAGGGGUAGUAUAUUGGCUGGCACAGCGGCAUAGGAUGAAUGGAGAAGAGAUUCGCAUAAACCCAUGGAGCAAACUAACAAUGUGUGCGAUUUUCGGUGGUGUCGGGUUCCUUAUGAUGCUCUUGGCAGGAUGUGAGCCACCAAUGAAGAAGACAAGGAUGUGGGUGGUGGCUCGAGCCAGAGUUCCCAUCAGCGGUGGAAGUCACCCUGGUGUACCCUGGUGUCCCAGUCCUCACCGUUAUUAACUCCACUGGUUGUAGCCGUCACAUCUUUGGCAUUGGAACUGAAGCACCGAAGAUAAUUUCUACUUUCUCCACCGUCUAACUUUCAGUUUUAAGGGGAACUUGUCAUAUGUAAAAAAAAACAAAAAAUUGUAAAUGUUUCUUUGUGGGCAUCUUUUUACAUUUGUUUCUUUCUUCCUGGAAUCAUAUUUAGUGGCCUUAUGAUAAGCAAGAAGAGGUGAUGUUUCCAAAGAUUAUAAUUAUAGAAAAAACGGAGUGUUGGCACAGGCCUGUAAUCUGAGCAGUUGGAAGGUUUGAAGUUCAAGGUCUUCUUCAGCUUCGCAGUGAGUCAGGUCAGGGGCUAGGCUGCCAUACUUGAGACCCUGUCCCACAUUUAGAAAAGGAAAACUCAAAGAAAUAGAAAUAUCCAAAUCUCCCAUUUUUCCCAAGGGGCAGAUGGUAGAUUUCCUUAGCAGAACAUACACCUUCCCAGAGAGAACAAGAUUCAAUGAACGUGUAAAUAGUAUCUUGUUUUCUUUCUUUCUUUACUAAAAUGAUACACCCAGCACAUUUUCAGUUUGGUAACUUUCAUUUUGGUUUUUAGUUAAUGUUGUUUUAUUAGCUUCUAUCCCUUGCACCGCAUUGAGAUCCAUCACACUGUUAUCCAAAUUUCUGCUGUACUGGGAACAUCCUGAUCACUACCCCUAACGCCCCUGACCAUCUUCACUUGGCUAAUUUCUAAAUUGGUAACUAAUUACAUGCAGAUAAUUAAAGAAUAAGCAAGAGUUCCCACCGUUAGGUAAAGUUGGGGGCAUGAUGUUAAGAAAGAGAAAGCCAAUUUCAAAUCUCGAUUGUUUGGAACAAAAUUUCAAAGUUAAAAGUAUCACGAGGCAAAAAUUCCAAGUAUUAGAAUUAUACUCAGUAGUUUCAUUUCCCUUGUGAAAUUUUAUUUUAAGAGAAUAAAAUGUGGCCCAUAAAGGUAUCUGAUCUCUCAGUGUGCCUUAUGCUUCAUAUAAAUCAAAUCCAGAAAAUAAGUGGGGCAUAUGUAAAAUGAAACCUUAAACAUACCUGGGACCAUCUUUUGCGAGGCACCGAUUGCUGCGUUAUCAAUUUUUUCUUGGAGCGUUUAUUAAAGAAUAUCUUUUGUUUUAAUUUGCCCCACACAAAGCAGCUUAGAGACAUUUACAGAGACGAAGAGGGAGCUUCAAUUAACCUUGGCUGCCGAGAUAUUUUAUGUGCAUGUAUUAUGCUACAACAGGGUAAUUACCUAAUACCUUUUGUGAAGGAAUUCUAAUAAAGAAUGAAAUUGAUUUAUACAUA
rnacentral:lncRNA from 1 species